rnacentral:rRNA from 1 species
CACGUAGGCACCAAGCGUUGUCCGGAUUUAUUGGGCGUAAAGAGCUCGUAGGCGGUUGAGUAAGUCGGGUGUGAAAACUCUGGGCUUAACCCAGAGCCGCCACCCGAUACUGCUCUGACUUGAGUUCGGUAGGGGAGCAGGGAAUUCCUAGUGUAGCGGUGAAAUGCGUAGAUAUCGGGAAGAACACCAGUGGCGAAAGCGCUCUACUGGGCCAUGACUGACACUGAGGGACGAAAGCUAGGGGAGCGAAAGGG